GUCGUCAGCUCGUGUCGUGAGAUGUGGUUAAGUCCCGCAACGAGCGCAACCCCUACGUUUAGUUGCUAACGCGUGAAGGCGAGCACUCUAGACGAACUGCCGUUGACAAAACGGAGGAAGGUGGGGAUGACGUCAAUCAUCAUGCCCCUUAUGUUCUGGGCUACACACGUGCUACAAUGGCCGGUACAGACGGACGCAAAGCCGCGAGGUGGAGCAAAUCCUAAAAAGCCGGUCUCAGUUCGGAUUGCAGGCUGCAAUUCGCCUGCAUGAAGUCGGAAUCGCUAGUAAUCGCAGGUCAGCAUACUGCGGUGAAUACGUUCCCGGGCCUU
rnacentral:rRNA from 1 species